UAAAGGGCUGUGAUGAUUAAGAACUACCUACUUUCUGAGGGGAGUUCUUUCCCUUGAUUAUAAGAAACCAAUGGAUCCUCUGAGCCUGUUU
rnacentral:snoRNA from 1 species